GAUAUUUGAGGUGGUAAAUUUCGUAGCGACCACACGCCGAUGGUAACGACAAGGGCAUUUGCUCUGAGAGAUGCAGGAGGAUGCUACGCCUGCCAAAUAUC
rfam:Faecalibacterium prausnitzii strain 2789STDY5608869 genome assembly, contig: SCcontig000008